rnacentral:lncRNA from 10 species
CGUCACUCUCUGUGUGAGUCAUUUAUUUAAUUUUUAAACAAGCAUAAGGUGUCUUUGUGUUCACUCAAUGUAUCAGGCAUUGUUUUGAACACCUAAUCAAAGAAAGCAGAGAUGUGAUGUCUGCCCCCAUAGGAGGUUAUUGACCAGUUGCACUGACAGCUGAAAUAUCCACAAGCCUGAGACACGUCCUGGGCCACGGUCGUGGUAGGAACAGCAUGCUGUGGAAACAGGCGGGUGACACACCACGUCAAUCUGGACCUUUCUAAGGCUUCCUGGGGGAGGUGACACUCCGGAUGGGAUACAGAAGAUCAAACAGAGACUAUUUAAGAGUGUGAGAACAGAGACCAGAAUUGGAAACUAAGUCAAGAGCAGUUAAAAGACCUGCUCGAUGUCACAAGGCAAGUCGCAGGGGCCCGGGGUUUGUACACAGGCAGUGUUUCUCCAGCGUCUGUGCACGUACUCACCAUAUCCCUCCUUCUUUCCGUGUGGAUGCAUGCUGCUUUUGAGCGAGAGUUUGGCAUUUUUCAUAAGGUCGGUUGAUGUCCCUGCACCUAGCAAUACCCAAUCCUUCACUGCAGGGUUCAGAUGGAGUCUAAAUAGUUAUGUAUGGCUUCAUUCCAUCUUCCAUUUUAACGUACUCAUGAAGAGUCAAAGAAAAGCACCUGAGAUGCGUCAGGGCCCACCGCCGGCGCUGAGGAUGGAACAGUGAACACAGCAAGCCACGUCCUUCCUCCUAGGGCCCAUAUUCUGAUGGAAGGAGUCAGACGAAAGGCAGAGAAAUGCAAUAGAAAAUCGAAUACUGCAUGUGAUGAUUGAUAAGUGAAAUCUAAACAUUGGGUACUCGUGGACACGAAGAGGGGAACAACAGACGCUGUGGACAACUAGAGCUACGGGUGGAAAAGUCUCAAGCCACCAGCUCAGCAGCUGCAUCUUCAAGGAGGCAUCUGGCAGGGAGGCUGCAGCUGGAGCACUGAUUGGCGACAUUCAUCACAGCUCACUGUCGUGCUCUGGGAUCUGGCUGGUCUUUAAAGGAUACAUCUGCUGAGACCUGCUGGCCACUUCCAUGUCUUUGUUUUCAUCCCCUUUUGCUGCUAUAACAAAACACUUCAGACUGGGUAAUUUGUGAAGAACAGAAAUUGAUUGUUGGCAGCUAGGAAGGCUGGGAAGUCCAAGAGCAAGGCACCUGCAGGUUCAGAGUAAGGUGAGGGCUGCUGUCUGCUUCUAGACGGUGCCUUGUUGCUGCAUCCUCCAGGGGGAAGGAACCCUGUGUCCUCACAUGGCAGAAGGCGGAGGAACUUAAUCAUUCCCCAGAAGGACAACCUUUCCCCAACACCAGCGUGCGGAUUAAGUUUUAACUUGAAUUUUCAAGGGCACACCCAUGGAAACCCCAACAUUCUUCUUUUGAGAAAUGUCUAUUCUGGUUCUCUGCUCAUUUUCUAAUUUGGUAUUUGAUUUCUGUCUAUUCAGCUGUCUGAGCUCCUUAAAUAGUUUGGAUAUUAACUCAUUAAAACACAUUGCUAAAUUGUACAAGGUUUGAACUAUAAAGGGUAUAUCAUACUGUAUACUAUCUGUUAAAAUUUGCUUUUAUAUUCAGCAUUGUGCUAAUAAGGGUUAUACAAAUUUUUGCCUGGAGCUGUGAGUUAUUCAUCUUAAAUGCUCUAUCAUAUUUCAUGAUUUGAUUAUAUUAUGUUUUAUUUAUCCAUUAUUCUGUCAAUGGAAGGUUUUCAACUUUUUUUUUUUUUUUUUGAGAUGGAGUUUCGCUCUUGUUGCCCAGGCUGGAGUGCAGUGGCGCGAUCUCAGCUCACCGCAACCUCCGCCUCCCGGCUUCAAGUGAUUCUCCAGCCUCAGCCUCCCGAGCAGCUAGGAUUACAGGCAUGCACUACCACGCCUGGCUAAUUUUGUAUUUUUAGUAGAGAUGGGGUUUCUCCAUGUUGGUCAUGCUGGUCUCAAACUCCCAACCUCAGGUGAUCCGCCUGCCUCAGCUUCCCAAAGUGCUGGGAUUACACACGUGAGCCACCACGCCUGGCUGUUUUUCAACUUUUUGAACGGUAAAGAGACCACUCUAAAUGUUCGCCUGGAUGUUUGUCCUGGAUAUAAAUCAAGGAAUGGGGUAAACUGGCUACAUAAUCUACACAUCAUUAACUUCACAAGAUAAUGUCACAUUUUAUCACAAAAUGCUUUCACAAAGUUUACUAUCACUGAGAUUGUGCCUGAGACAUGAUAAACUAAAAUAUUUAGUACAGCUGAGUAUUAUCAUAUUUGUUACUUUUGCCAACAUAACAGGUGUAAAUGUAUAUUUUUAUCUCUCUGUGUAAAUGAUUGUAAACAUCUCUUUUUAUGCCUAUUAGCCAUAUAUAUUUCUUUGUGAAAUAUCUAUUCAUGUUUUUGACCAUUGUUUUCUUUGGUUUUUAUUUUUCUUAUCAAAUUUCAGAAUUUUUCUGUAUUGUUUACACCAGGCCUUUGGGAGUUAUGCAUGUGGCAAAUGGCUUCUUGCCUUCUUGUCUUGUUUUCUGGUGUGUGGGGUGCUUUUAAUAUUCUUAAUGGGUACUUUUAUGAAUAGAAAAUCUUAAUUAGAAUUGAUUCAUAUUGAUUGAUCUUUAUUAUUUACACAUUUGUACUGAAAUAAAUAUUUUAAUAUCAGAACUUAGAACUUUAAAAAGUUAGUAAAAUGUACAUAUAUAUGCAUACAUAUAUGUUACUUUUUUCUCUAUAAAAUUUUUGGUUUUGCCUUCAACAUUUAAAUUACUUUUCUGGUUUAAAUGUAAAUAUAUGAUGUAGGGUGAGAACCACAUUUUCACUUUUUUAACAUGAAUAAUUAUUUUUUCACCUCUAUUUUUCAACAGCUUCUCUUCUUCAGCAACCUAUCAUGUCGUCACUGUUAUAUAUUAAGGUUUCAGAUAUAUUUCUGUGCUUUCUAUGUUAUAAUUUUUGUGCAUUCAUAUGUCCCCAAUACAAUCUCUCUUAAACAAUAAUAAUUUCAAAGUAAUUUAUUUUACUUCUCUUCUUUGGAGGAAUAUUUCUAUUCUUGACUUUUUAACUUUCAAUAUAAAUUUAAAAAUUGAUUUGUGAAAUUUCACACAACGUAUGUACACAGAUCAUGAUACAUAUGC